UGUAUAUUUUAUUUUUAUAAAAUUAAGAUUAAUUCUGUCUUAAGGUUUAGUUAGGGUUAGAUUAGCUGUUUAUUGGGUAAUUUAAAAUAUGAGUUUUUGCGUGAUUAUAAGUUAUUGUCUAAAGGAUUUAUUUAUUUUCUAUUUGUAGUUUUUAGUUUUAAUUGAUCGUAGUAAUACGGAGUUGGUUAAUUUUAUAGAAUUGUUUAAAGGUUGUGCCAGCAUACGCGGUUAUACAUCCAAUUCAAGUUAAUCUUUUAGGUUUAUAUUGAGUAUUUAUUUUGGGAUUUGAAUUUAUUUUAUGGGGUGGAAUUUUUAAUUUGUAUUAUUGAUCUUUGGUUUAUGAUUAUAUGAAAUUUAGUAUUGAGACUAGGAUUAGAUACCCUAUUAUUCUAAAUGUAAAUUUUAACCAUAUUAUUA
rnacentral:rRNA from 1 species